GAUGAAGAACGUAGCAAACUGCGAUACUUGGUGUGAAUUGCAGAAUCCCGUGAACCAUCGAGUUUUUGAACGCAAGUUGCGCCCGAAGCCUUUUGGCCGAGGGCACGUCUGCCUGGGCGUCACGCAUCGCGUCGCCCCCCACAAUUCUCCGUAAAGGGAACAUGUGUUUUGGGGGCGGAUAUUGGUCUCCCGUGCUCAUGGCGUGGUUGGCCGAAAUAGGAGUCCUUUCGAUGGACGCACGAACUAGUGGUGGUCGUAAAAACCCUCGUCUUUUGUUUCGUGCUGUUGCUCGCAAGGUAAACUCUUUAAAAACCCCAAUGUGUCGUCUCUUGACGACGCUUCGACCGCGACCCCAGGUCAGGCGGGACUACCCGCUGAGUUUAAGCAUAUCAAUAAGCGGAGGA
rnacentral:misc_RNA from 1 species